AGGAAAUAGAGACCAGCAAGAGAAAAUAGAGAGAAAGUAGCCGCAGUGACGAAUUUGCCCUAAUAAAAUGGGUUUACUGACUGCAAAAGUUAAACAUUGACCAGAGAUGAAGCUGUUGCCAGUAAUUUUCCUGCUGGCAUUAACCUCAGCUACCUCUGCUUUGGACAAUGGUUUGACCCAUGGGAUGGAUGUCUUGGGAGCGUUUUUGCUGUAAUAUCGAUUGAGAAUGAUCCCAAGAACUGCAUCAGCGAGAAUCUCUUCAGAGAUAUGGCAGACAGACUGGCUGAAGAUG